rnacentral:lncRNA from 1 species
AAGCAUAGAAAAACCAAACAUUAAAAAUCAUUCAAAUUAUGAGAAGUUUACCAAAAUAAUUAUGAAAAAAAAAUAAAACAAUAGUACUAUACCAUACUUUUAUUAAGUAUAAACAUAAGAUUUUGUGGUAUCCACUAGUGUAAAUAUUUUAAAUUGAAGAUCAAAUUCAAUCAUUGUAUUCAUAUAAGGUCAAGGAGUGUAGUUGUAAAAAAUCAUCAAAAUCGGAGUUAAAUUAACCGUUAAAUCGUGAUUUUUCGUUUAUAACCGUCGAAAAGUUUUGUCCCGUUACUUGCUCUCUGAAUGUUUGUGUUUUUCAAUUUUUGGCAUAUGCAAUCUCAAAAUAUAUAGAAACAUGUUUGACGGUUGGAUCAUUGAAACUAGUUUCGUAGAAUGAGUAUCCCAUCAAAACAAUAGAUUCACUAAUACUUAAGAGUUUAUUCAUACUUUUAUUAAGUAUAACAUAAGAUUGUGUGGUAUCCACUAGUGUAAAUAUUUUAAAUUGAAGAUCGAAUUCAAUCAUUAUAUUCAUAUAGGGUCAAGGAGUGUAGUUGUAAAAAAUCAUCAAAAUCGGAGUUAAAAUGACCGUUAAAUCGUGAUUUUUCUUUUAUAACCGUCGAAAUGUUUUAUCUCGUUACUUGAUCUCUGAAUGUUUGUUUUUUGCAAUUUUUGGCGUAUGCGAUCUCGAAGUAUAUAUAAACAUGUUUGACGGUUGGAUCAUUGAAACUAGUUUCGUAGAAUGAGUAUCCCAUCAAAACAAUAGAUUCACUAAUACUUAAUAGUUUAUUCAUACUUUUAUUAAGUAUAAUAUAAGAUUUUGUGGUAUCCACUAGUGUAAAUAUUUUAAAUUGAAGAUCGAAUUCAAUCAUUGUAUUCAUAUAAGGUCAAGGAGUGUAGCUGCAAAAAAUCAUCAAAAUCAGAGUUAAAAUGACCGUUAAAUUGUGAUUUUUCUUUUUAUAACCGUCGAAAAGUUUUGUCCCGUUAAUUGAUCUCUGAAUGUUUGUUUUUUGUAAUUUGUUACGUAUGCGAUCUCGAAGUAUAUACAAACAUGUUUGACGGUUGGAUCUUUGAAACUAGUUUCGUAGAAUGAGUAUCCCAUCAAAACAAUAGAUUCACUAAUACUUAAUAGUUUAUUUAUACUUUUAUUAAGUAUAACAUAAGAUUUUGUGGUAUCCACUAGUGUAAAUAUUUUAAAUUGAAGAUCGAAUUCAUUACUUGUAUUCAUAUAGGGUCAAAGAGUGUAGUUGUAAAAAAUCAUCAAAAUCAGAGUUAAAAUAACCGUUAAAUCGUGAUUUUUUGUUUAUAACCGUCGAAAACUUUUGUCCCAUUACUUGAUCUCUGAAUGUUUGUUUUUUUCAAUUUUUGGCGUAUGCGAUCUCGAAGUAUAUACAAACAUGUUUGACGGUUGGAUCAUUGAAACUAGUUUUGUAGAAUGAGUAUCCCAUCAAAACAAUAGAUUCACUAAUACUUAAGAGUUUAUUCAUACUUUUAUUAAGUAUAACAUAAGAUUUUGUGGUAUUCACUAGUGUAAAUAUUUUAAAUUGAAGAUCGAAUUCAAUCAAUGUAUUCAUAUAGGGUCAAGGAGUGUGGUUGUAAAAAAUCAUCAAAAUCGGAGUUAAAAUGAUCGUUAAAUCGUGAUUUUUCGUUUAUAACCGUCGAAAAGUUUUGUCCCGUUACUUGCUCUCUGAAUGUUUUUUUUUGCAAUUUUUGGCGUAUGUGAUCUCGAAGUAUAUACAAACAUGUUUGACGGGUGGAUUGUUGAAAUUAGUUUCGUAUAAUUAGUAUCCCAUGAAGUUCAAUGGUGUGUGUGUGUAUAUAUAUAUAUUUAUUUAUUAAGUAGAUUUAAAUCUAUUUAUUUUGUAUGUAUAAUUAUUAUAGUUUUUAGGGGUAUAAAAUUUAAUAUAUAUAUAUAUAAU